rnacentral:rRNA from 1 species
GACGCACGCUGGCGGCGUGCUUAACACAUGCAAGUCGAACGAAGUGGCGCACGGGUGAGUAACGCGCAAUCAACCUGCCCUUCAGAGGGGGAUAACAGUUGGAAACGACUGCUAAUACCGCAUACUGAAGGAGGGGAUUGCGGCGGAUUCGCUAGUUGGAGGGGUAACGGCCCACCAAGGCGAUGAUCAGUAGCCGGUCUGAGAGGAUGAACCGCCACAUUGGGACUGAGACACGGCCCAGGCUCCUACGGGAGGCAGCAGUGGGGAAUCUUCCGAAAUGGACGAAAGUCUGACGGAGCAACGCCGCGGUAGUGAUGACGGCCUUCGGGUUGUAAAGCUCUGUUAAUCGGGACGCGGUACCGGAAUAGAAAGCCACGGCUAACUACGUGCCAGCAGCCGCGGUAAUUC